GGCUAUAGCACAGUGGUUAGAGCAAUCGCUUUACACGCAGAAGUUAUUGGGUUCAAUCCCCAACAUCUCCA